UUGCGCAAUGGGCGAAAGCCUGACGCAGCAACGCCGCGUGAGGGAUGAAGGCCUUCGGGUCGUAAACCUCUGUCAGAGGGGAAGAACCGUCUGUGGGAUAAUACCCCGCAGGCCUGACGGUACCCUCAGAGGAAGCACCGGCUAACUCCGUGCCAGCAGCCGCGGUAAUACGGAGGGUGCAAGCGUUGUUCGGAAUUAUUGGGCGUAAAGCGCGCGCAGGCGGCUGCGCAAGUCUGAUGUGAAAGCCCCGGGCUCAACCUGGGAAGUGCAUCGGAAACUGCGUAGCUUGAGUACGGGAGAGGGAAGCGGAAUUCCGAGUGUAGGGGUGAAAUCCGUAGAUAUUCGGAAGAACACCAGUGGCGAAGGCGGCUUCCUGGACCGAUACUGACGCUGAGGCGCGAAAGCGUGGGGAGCAAACAGGAUUAGAUACCCUGGUAGUCCACGCCGUAAACGAUGGGUACUAGGUGUCGCGGGUAUUGACCCCUGCGGUGCCGAAGCUAACGCAUUAAGUACCCCGCCUGGGGAGUACGGCCGCAAGGCUAAAACUCAAAGGAAUUGACGG
rnacentral:rRNA from 1 species